GUCUAUGGCCAUGCCACGCUGAACAAGACCAAUCCUGUCUGAUCUUGGAUGCAAAGCAGAGCCGGGCCUAGUUAGUACUUGGAUGGGAGAUCACCUGGGAAGACCAGAUGCUGUAGACA
rnacentral:rRNA from 1 species